CCUACGGGAGGCAGCAGUGGGGGAUAUUGCACAAUGGGGGAAACCCUGAUGCAGCGACGCCGCGUGGGUGAAGAAGCGCCUCGGCGCGUAAAGCCCUGUCAGCAGGGAAGAAAAUGACGGUACCUGAAGAAGAAGCCCCGGCUAACUACGUGCCCGCAGCCGCGGUAAUACGUAGGGGGCAAGCGUUAUCCGGAUUUACUGGGUGUAAAGGGGGCGCAGACGGCGAUGCAAGCCAGGAGUGAAAGCCCGGGGCCCAACCCCGGGACUGCUCUUGGAACUGCGUGGCUAGAGUGCAGGAGGGGCAGGCGGAAUUCCUGGGGUAGCGGUGAAAUGCGUAGAUAUCAGGAGGAACACCGGUGGCGAAGGCGGCCUGCUGGACUGCAACUGACGUUGAGGCCCGAAAGCGUGGGGAGCAAACAGGAUUAGAUACCCCAGUAGUC
rnacentral:rRNA from 1 species